UUCACAGACCAGCUGGUGUCUGAACUAGGCCAUGUAGGAGAGUUGUAAUUGAGGGUAAUAGCAGACUCCAGCCAGGACACCAUAAACUGUGGGCGUGGGUCUUAAACCAAUGGACAAGUCUCUAAACUAAUGCUUGGAAACUUAAUCUGCACUUCUAAAGCACCAAGGAAACAUGUAAUUUGCCUGUGACCAGAUCCCUUUUAGACCCUCUGUUUCAGGAGCCCUGGGCAUGGGACCUGCAUGCUUGCAUAGUGAUAAAGCCCCCAGAUUCUUGCCUCUUAAUGAGAUCCUUUGAUCUCUUCACCCAAAGUGGAGAUGAUAACCAUGGGUGAUCCAGACAGGCUGCCUGGGGAGAGCCUGCAGAACAUCUUGGCAAUGGAAUGAUUACUCCACGUUGGCUUCUGGCUGGAUGGAGGUGCUUGCCUAGAGAAGGAAGGAAACAAGAAAACAUGGGGCACACAGGGGCCAGGAAGGAGGCGAGAAUGCUGGUUUCUGCAGCCUUCAUCCAAGCACUAAAUCCACCUAAUUGGUUUGAAAAGCACUGGGUGGAUAAACAUCCCAUCGGCUUACCACUGUAAUAAUGCCAGUGACAUUUAUUCCUGAGAUGAAGGAUGCAGAAUGAAUGGAGAUCAGACCCCAGGUACUCUGCUAUAAAUGACAGCCUAGACAAGGCACCCCCUGAGCCAAGAAAUGCCAGCCUUUGGAGGCGGGGACUUGGGGAUGCAUCAAGCAGGAAUGAGUACCACGCGGGGCUUCUGGACACUUAAGGAAGAGCUUGCAGGCUGAGUUAGGAAGUAGAUCAGAUUUGCCCAUGACCUGGAGAGGUGGAAUGAACACGAGAACAUUGUGCUGGGCAAGUUACUGAAUCUCUCUGAAACUCUGGUUCCUGUCUAUGGGUUGAGUACCUCAUGAUGUUCUGGACAUGAAUGAGAAAUAAAUGAGGAACCUAGCCCUGUUCCUGCCAAGCUCCAGGUGUUCCAGUAUUGUGAGGUUUUCUUUUUAUCCUUUCACAUUUUUUCUUUCUCCAGAUCUUCUUUCUCCUGAAACCACCUUUUUCUUUGCUCCAAAGAUCCCAAGACCUGUCCACCCCCCAUCACGUACCCAUGAGGGCACCCCCUUCACCCAUUCAUUCAUUAAUACCAUUUUAAAAUUCAUUCGUCAAUUAUGUUUUGGUCAGGCAAAAUGUGCCAGAUUUCUAGCCAGGUACCUGGUAUACAAAGAUAAAUCAGACCUCUACUCUGUCCUUGAGCUGUUCAGAGGUUAAUGGAGGACAGGACUUUGAGUCAGACAGAGUCCUAACAAGAAACAGAUGGCAUGCUGGAUGUGGUGGCUUACGCCUGUAAUCCCAGCACUUUGGGAGGCUGAGGCAAGCGAAUCAUCUGAGGUCAGGAGUUCAAGACCAGCCUGGACUACAUGGUGAAACCCCAUCUCUACUAAAAAUACAAAAAUUAGCCGGGUGUGGUGGCACACACCUGUAGUCUCAGCUACUCGGGAGGCUGAGACAGGAGAAUCCCUUGAACCUGGGAGGUGGAGGUUGCAGUGAGCUGAGAUUGCACCACUGCACUCCAGCCUGGGUCACAGAGCACGACUCCUUGCAUCCCCCCGCCAAAGAAAAAAAGAAAAGAAACAGAUGGCAUACUAAGAGUAAGGUAAUUUAAGCAAGGCCUCUUUACAAAGGGACUAGUGAGAAAGGAAUGGGUGUAACCAGCAGCAGCAUGGCUGUCACCACCUCUAAGUCCAGGGAUUCAAGGGGGAACGGAAGAGAACUGAUCUUGGAACCUAGCAACAGAGGGGCGUGCACAGCAGGCCACCUUGAGAGGGGCAGGCGCACAACCAGCCCAAGGUAACUUCCCAAGGAGGGAGCCUGACUUUGCCCUUUCUUCCCUCUGACAUUUUUGGGUGCUCCCUGUUGUCUGGCCUGACCAGAAGCUCAAGGGCAAGGGAGCCUGUUGAUUUAGUCCACAAAGGCCAGCCUCCUAUGGCAGAGGGCAAGGUGACAGAGGGUGGAGAGUGGGUUUGGAGGGACAAAUGCAGUAUGUACAGUGUGUGGGGUAUAACUAAAUAUGGUUGCGUGUGACCUUAGAAUGGUUAGAGGUAGGACUAGGGAGCCCUAGCCGGAAGUGAGCAAUUCCCACCAGUCCUUUCUAUCUCACCUGAUUGCGCUGCACUCUCCAAUUCAAAGGGCUGGAGUUGAUCGUCCUGCCUCCAGGCUGUCCACCUCCAAUCCUCUCCAGGAUGGUUUUUUGUUACUCUCCUACCUCCACCAAUGCUAGGAAGUGCACAUUUUCCUAAAUACUCAACACCCUCUUCUUGGCCUUUGAACUGCUAUCUUUCAUCUCCACUCCCCAACCCAGCCUGAGACACUCUUUCCCCUCCUCAUUUCCUGGAACUCUCUGCUGCCCUUCGAAAAGUCAUAACCUACCUAAACAUUCAGAAACUUACAGAGAGUAAAAAUUAGACACCCACAUCCCCACCCCCCAGUAUUUAACAAAUGUUGAAAUUUUACCAUAUUUGUUUCAGGUCUUUUUUUAAAAAAAAAGAAAUAAAAUAUUGCAGAUACAAUGGAAUCGUAUGUUGUACUUCUACUCCUCCUUGUAACACUAUUUUGAAGUUAGUGAGUGUUCACCUAUCUGUGUUUUUUACACUUUUCCUAGAUAUCACUGCUUUAAAAUUUCUUUAAAAUAAU
rnacentral:lncRNA from 10 species